GACGAACCGUGCGAACGUUAUUCGGAAUCACUGGGCUUAAAGCGCGUGUAGGCGGGGCGGCACGUCGGUCGCUGAAAGCCCCCGGCUCAACCGGGGGAAGCGGCGCCGAUACGACCGCCCUGGAGGGACGUAGGGGGGACCUGGAACUUCCGGUGGAGCGGUGAAAUGCGCAGAUAUCAGGAAGAACACCCCGUGGCGAAGGCGGCUCUCUGGGACGUGACUGACGCUGAGACGCGAAAGCGUGGGGAGCAAACAGG
rnacentral:rRNA from 1 species